rnacentral:lncRNA from 1 species
AGGUUCCUGUAUCUUCAUGUCGAGUUGGUCGCUGCCCAACGUAGAGGACUAGGAAUCAGGAGUCAGUGGCCGUAUGCUGGAGGCUGGAGCCACGUGAACGCGGCUCGCCUUGCUGCGGUUGUUGGCAGUGAUGGAGAGAUAGCAGCGCGACUGGAGCGGUAGGAGAAGGAAAACAGUUUUGGGAUAGAUAGAGGAGAGUAAAGAGGGUAGUUAGUGCCAAAGGGAAAAAAGGAUAGCUUAGCAGGAGAAGGCGUUGUGAAAAGAUGGUGGGGAAAAAAGUUUUUGGGUAGAUGGAGGGGUAAAAACAUCACGGGGAGCGGGAGGGAAGGAAGGUUUUGCAGAAAGACGGUGGGUAAAAAGUUAAAGGGUAGAUGGAGGGGGAAAAGAGGGUGGCAAGUGGGCGGAGGAAAGAGAGGGAGGUGAUGGGGGAAAACGGGGCGAGCGGUAGGGAGAGAAGGUUUUGUGAAAAGACAGUGGGGAGAAAAUACAGUAGGGGGGAAAAGUUUUUGGGUUGAGCAAAAGAGGGUAGCAAGUGGGAGAAGGAAAAAGGGUAGCCAGCAGGAGGAAGACAAGGUUUUGUGAAAAGACAGUGGCAGAAAAGAAAGACAGUGAAGAAAGAAAAGACGGUGGGUGAAAAGUGUUUCUAUAGAUGGAGAGGGGAAAGAGGGUGAC